rnacentral:rRNA from 1 species
AGCGAACGUUUGCGGCGGGCCUAACACAUGCAAGUCGAACGCACUAGCAAUAGUGAGUGGCGCACGGGUGCGUAACACGUGGGUAAUCAACCCUUCAGCCUGGGAUAACGACUCGAAAGGGUCGCUAAUACCGGAUACGGCGCGAGAGGCUUCGGCUUCUCACGAGAAAGCCACGCAAGGGGCACUGAAGGACGAGCCUGCGGCCCAUCAGCUAGUUGGUGAGGUAAGAGCUCACCAAGGCUAAGACGGGUAGCUGGUCUGAGAGGAUGAUCAGCCACACUGGAACUGAGACACGGUCCAGACUCCUACGGGAGGCAGCAGUGGGGAAUAUUGCGCAAUGGGCGAAAGCCUGACGCAGCCACGCCGCGUGAGCGAUGAAGGCCUUCGGUCGUAAAGCUCUGUGGGAGGAGACGAAGAAAGACCUGUGAAGAGCAGGCCUUGACGGUAGUCUCCUUAGCAAGCACCGGCUAACUCCGUGCCA